CGUUCUGGGAGCGGCCGAUGUCGGAUUUGCUAGUUGGUGGGGUAAAGGCCCACCAAGGCGACGAUCCGUAGCGGGUCUGAGAGGAUGAUCCGCCACACUGGAACUGAGACACGGUCCAGACUCCUACGGGAGGCAGCAGUGGGGAAUUUUGGACAAUGGGCGCAAGCCUGAUCCAGCCAUGCCGCGUGAGUGAAGAAGGCCUUCGGGUUGUAAAGCUCUUUCGGUGGGGAAGAAAUUGCUUGGGUUAAUACCCUGAGUAGAUGACGGUACCCGCAUAAGAAGCACCGGCUAACUACGUG
rnacentral:rRNA from 1 species